rnacentral:lncRNA from 1 species
CCUCAAGUUCACCCCCAAAUUGGGAUUGUGACCAACACUUGGAAUUUCUUUCUUGUAACUUGGUUAAACUUUCACAGAAGUCCUCACAUCCACACCCAGCUACUCCAGACCAUCACCAAAAUUUAAUCAUUUCUUUAGUGGGUUAUAGCUAACCAUAACACUCCCUGUAAUUUUCAAUUAUGUAUGUGCAGCCCUUUUUGAGAUAUGUCGUACACAGAAAAAAAACCACACGAAAAACACCAAAACGUCAAACAAAACUCGCACGACUGAAUGCAUUAUUUCCUGGUGGAGAGGAUAAACAGAAGAAAAAUUUAAUGGUUCAAAAAUGAAGAUGACAGUAGAGCAAAAUAUUGCAUUGAAGUGAAUUGUGUUCAAUGUAGUAAUGCUAACAGAAAAUUUUUUUUUCUCUUUUUGAACUUUUUUUCUUUUGUAUUUGUUCCAAGAAAAAUGCUGAGAAGGAAAAUAACGCGGCACAUGAUGCAGCAUUGGAAUCAUACAGAAACAAAAUGCAACAUGGUUUCUUAAGUAGAUUUGGUUUUGAGGAAUUGCAUUAUCAAACAAGUGCAAAUGCAGAAAAAAAGUAUGACAACACUGCCGACCAAGGCUUUCCAUCGUACCAGCAAAACAAGAUGGCGCUGGCAAGAUCAAUCCACACUAUGUACACGGAAUUCAGAUCUAGAAGAACUUUUUGGAUUUGGUUUAGAAAAAGCCUGCUUGGUUAUACUACUGAGGAAGUUGCCAUUCCUUCACACUUGCUAAAAUCCAGAGCUAGAUGAAUACCAUUGUUUUAAAUGUACAUCCACUCUGCAGCAAAUACUAAAGUAUGACUACACUAGUAUUAUACAGUUAUUCUUUAUAUAUAUUUUUAACUCUAAUUUUAACUAAGUUCACCAUGAAAAUUAUUUUACAAUGUAGUUCUGGUAGUUAAAGUUGGAUUAACUAUUUUAACAGACUGAGGUAUAGGACCAUAGUUUUAUAUAGUUAUUAAUAAAAAUUCGACACAAUAUACUUUGUUAAAAUAGUAGAGUAGAUAUUGUUUGAAAAUGGGUAUAACCCCAAAAAAUUGCAACAAAAGUUUUUUCAACAAGGAAAACCUUUAGGCCAGUUGCACAACACAGUUGUGGAUCCUUUUGCCAUUUCUACUUUUUUUGAAUUGGAUGUUUUAAUUUAUUGAUAUUUAAUAUUUGUAAUAUUGGAAUUUUGAUUGAUAUUUAUAAUUUGUAAUUUUUUCAUUUUCUUUCAUAGUAGCUGACUGAUCUUUUUAUGUUGCUUGAUAUACCAGCAGUUAUAAAUCUUAAGCUCUGAUGCUACUUCACUAUUAAGUAAUACUGUACUAGUAGGUUUGCACUUUAAUUCGAGGAUCUGACAAUGUGGUAUGGUCUUCUGGUUCGGUCUCCAGUUAGGGGGUUAGCUGUGUAUUAAAAGGUUAAUGGUAAAAAGUGUUCUGAAAUUAGCAGGGUCUGGAAUUGGAGGGGGAACUUGAUGUACAACUUUUACUUCAAAUAGAUUGCUCUAUCUUAUACUGGCAUUGAACUAGUGCCAGUUCAGUUCAGUUCAACUUCAUUUAACCAUGGAGGCCCAGAUCAACAUAAGGUUGUUCUUCCCUGUGGCCGUGCACAUAAAUACAAUACAAAAUAAAAAAGUCAAUAUGUGGCUAACACAAGCCAAACCAGUCACUCGUCGCGAAAAUUGAUUUUUGGUUGUUAAUAUAGGGCUAAACAGCAAAAUGAGAGCUAUAAAAUGGUAAAAGAAUCAUUUGAAAAGAAUCAUCAGAAUCAAUCAAAACAUCAAGAUAUUCUCAACCAACAACAAAGUUCUUUUCAGAACUAUCUAUGACCAAACCAUUACAAAAUUCAAUCUUAUUUUCAAGUUUUACCAUUUUAUAGGGGGUUUCUUUUUGGUUGGAUGUUAAUUUAUAUUUAAUGGGGCUCUGUUAUGUAAUGAAUUUUAGUUGAUUUUAAUUUGUAAUUUUUGCAUAUUUAAAUUCUUUCUACAUUUCAGUUUCGGCUGCAAUAGAUUAUUUCUAUCUUUAAUUGUAUUUUUUAUAUUUCAAAAAUAAAGAUACCAUAUUAUAUAUAUUA